rnacentral:rRNA from 1 species
GACGAACGCUGGCGGCGUGCUUAACACAUGCAAGUCGAACGGAAAGGCCCUGCUUUUGUGGGGUGCUCGAGUGGCGAACGGGUGAGUAACAAGUGAGUAACCUGCCCUUGACUUUGGGAUAACUUCAGGAAACUGGGGCUAAUACCGGAUAGGAGCUCCUGCUGCUUGGUGGGGGUUGGAACGUUUCGGCGGUUGGGGAUGGACUCGCGGCUUAUCAGCUUGUUGGUGGGGUAGUGGCUUACCAAGGCUUUGACGGGUAGCCGGCCUGAGAGGGUGACCGGCCACAUUGGGACUGAGGUACGGCCCAGACUCCUGCGGGAGGCAGCAGUGGGGAAUAUUGCACAAUGGGCGGAAGCCUGAUGCAGCAACGCCGCGUGCGGGAUGACGGCCUUCGGGUUGUAAUCCGCUUUCGCCUGUGACGAAGCGUGAGUGACGGUAAUGUGUAAAGAAGCACCGGCUAACUACGUG